rnacentral:rRNA from 1 species
AUUGAACGCUGGCGGCAGGCCUAACACAUGCAAGUCGAGCGGCAGCGGGGGGAAGCUUGCUUCCCCGCCGGCGAGCGGCGGACGGGUGAGUAAUGUCUGGGAAACUGCCUGAUGGAGGGGGAUAACUACUGGAAACGGUAGCUAAUACCGCAUAACGUCUUCGGACCAAAGUGGGGGACCUUCGGGCCUCAUGCCAUCAGAUGUGCCCAGAUGGGAUUUGCUGGUUGGUGGGGUAACGGCUCACCAAGGCGACGAUCCCUAGCUGGUCUGAGAGGAUGACCAGCCACACUGGAACUGAGACACGGUCCAGACUCCUACGGGAGGCAGCAGUGGGGAAUAUUGCACAAUGGGCGCAAGCCUGAUGCAGCCAUGCCGCGUGUAUGAAGAAGGCCUUCGGGUUGUAAAGUACUUUCAGCGGGGAGGAAGGUGUUGAGGUUAAUAACCGCAGCAAUUGACGUUACCCGCAGAAGAAGCACCGGCUAACUCCGUGCCAGCCGCCGCAGUAAGAC